AAUUUGCUCACCCACCUGAAGACAGUACACGAAGGUCGUAAAGAUUAUGCAUGCGAAAAAUGCGAUAAGAAAUUUGCACGAAAAUCGAACUUAUUUGUGCACCAAAGGACCAGACACAAAGACCAUUAAAAUUUAGCACACGACAAAUGUGAGAAGACAUCAAGUCCUCAAACCUAUCGAAAAAUAUGAGGUUUUCUACACAGUGAGAACUAAUAUUGACUACUGGACUUUUUGUAAACGUCAUGACUUAUUUCACGGUUAAAGAGGGACCUCGUGACGAGUCGUUUAUUGAAAAUGAUUAGGAGACAGUUGACGAGUAAUCCGAUUUGAUACACUUUCAACUUUCGCCAUUUCCACGAAAAAAUUCAAUCCAAACGCUUUGGAAAAGUGACAAUAAAACUUAAAAAUAAAUUCUCUUCUAUCGCGUUAACUGAAAUUAGAACUGGUUCAAAUUUGGAAGGCAAUGUACAAACAGAUGAAGCGGAAACUUGAUUGAAAAUAAUAUGAUUAGAAACGACUUUGACAUUGUUCCUCAACACACUGAUCGUGUUAACAGUUAAUUCAAAUUAGUUUGAAUGUUGUCUUUCCAGAUGAAACACUAAAUAGAAGGAUCCGUCGUUUAAUUUACGUACCAAAAUGGAUAAAAGUGAAAAGAGAACCGAGGAAAUUGUCUCGAACGAUAAUGUAAGUGAAAACGAAAAAAAAUUCGUUUGUGAUAUUUGUCAAGAGGCAUUUGCACUAGAGUUAAGUAUGAUAGCACACCGAGACACAAUUCACCAUGAACGAAAAGAUUACGCUUGUGACAAGUGC